GUAAUGGUGUCUUUAGACACCACCCUUUAUCUUUAAAUUAUUUUGU
rfam:Picea glauca, whole genome shotgun sequence.